GCUGCACUAGAGUUUUUUAAAGACUAAACUGUGCAGAAUUCAACUAGCCAGAACAACAGGAAAAUAAAUUGUAACAACUUGACACUAAUACACACAAGCAAAUGAUUCAUGGGAUUAAAUCCCCAAUACUGCACCAUGCAACCGUCAGAUUUUGGAGGAUGUGGUAGAACUCUUCCAAGGCUUUUCAGAAAGCCUUUGACAAGGUCACUCACCACAGGCUCUUAAGCAAGACUGUAUGUUGCUUCAGAGCAGGGACUGUCUACUUUACAUCAGUACAUGCCAGGUCAGAAUCAGGCACCACCAGAUCGGAAUGAGAGUUUCAUCAGUCACCAUGUGGGAUUGCCCUGUUGUCAUUGUCUCCAUCAAGGGUUGUUUUCAGAUGUGGCUUCAGAGGCACCCCCUACACUCUAGCAGAGCAUGUCAGCCAGAUGAUAAAGCACGCAAGACAGAGCAAAGACGACAUGUUCGGGGAGGUACUGCAAUUCUCCAAUGCAGAGAAAAGGGAAUGCCAGGAAUGGAGGGAAGCCAAAAGGCGGGACAGAAAAUAAAAUCAGAAGUUCAUUAAGGAUGUUACUGUGCAGAUGAUUAAAGUCAUGGAGGAGCAAACGCAGAUGCUGAAGUCCUUAAUAAUGCUGCAUACUGAGCAGAUGCUUGCCCACCCUCCCUUGCAGCACAUUCAAAACUCUUUUCCAUGUCCCCCAACUCCACUCUCACAUUCCUUUCCAUUUUCCAAGACUUCUCUAUUUCCCAUUCACUCCACCCCCUUGGACAACUUUCAGAGUGAUAGCUAGACUUAUGCACAGCUCUGAAAGUCUGCCCUUCCCUGGUACCUUCUUUCCCACCA